UUCCCUACGGGGGCAGCAGUAGGGAUUAUUGCUCAAUGGGGGAAACCCUGAAGCAGCAACGCCGCGUGGAGGAUGAAGGUUUUCGGAUUGUAAACUCCUUUUGUUAGAGAAGAUAAUGACGGUAUCUAACGAAUAAGCACCGGCUAACUCCGUGCCAGCAGCCGCGGUAAUACGGAGGGUGCAAGCGUUACUCGGAAUCACUGGGCGUAAAGAGCGCGUAGGCGGGAUAGCAAGUCAGAUGUGAAAUCCUAUGGCUUAACCAUAGAACUGCAUUUGAAACUGUUAUUCUAGAGUAUGGGAGGGUG
rnacentral:rRNA from 1 species